UACGAAGGGGGCUAGCGUUGUUCGGAAUUACUGGGCGUAAAGCGUGCGCAGGCGGUGAGCUGUGUCCGAUGUGAAAGCCCCGGGCUUAACCUGGGAAUGGCAUUGGAAACUGGCUCGCUGGAGUGUGGCAGAGGGGGGUGGAAUUCCGCGUGUAGCAGUGAAAUGCGUAGAGAUGCGGAGGAACACCGAUGGCGAAGGCAGCCCCCUGGGCUAACACUGACGCUCAGGCACGAAAGCGUGGGGAGCAAACAGG
rnacentral:rRNA from 1 species